GAGACACCUUAAAAAGGCAAACAAGAUAUGUGUUCUGUGAAAAGCUCAGCUAAUCCCAGUAACGACAUCACUGACAUCGAUGAAGUGUUUGAAAACCAGGUUCGAAAUGUCACAUCGCCAACGCCAGCCUGAUGGUGUGAAUGCAGCGAGGCCCUCUGGGAUGGUCCAGCCCGAAUUGCUGGCUCAGUCUGCUAAUGAGGGAGCAGAUCUGCCCACUAAUUGCCCAGACGGUGGGACCCUUGCACCCCCAGCUCCCACAGCAGCAUCUCCAGAGGUGGCACAGACAGACCAGAGCUGGGUGACGGAGCUGGCGUUACCCCUGGUGCCCGGCCCUGCGCCCUGCUCGGGGGCUCCUCUGUGCCUCGAGGCAGCAGUACCAGAGAUGGACAGCGGGACUUUGCUUGGUCCCACGGGAGGUGGCAGCCUGCGGGCAUCAGCACCCAGCAGCCGCUCUCCCUCCGCGCCCACACCGGGGCUGUGGCCACAUCCAGCCCCUUCCCCGUCCCCGCUGGGACCGUGUCCUGUCUCCUGUGCUGUGUAACACCUGCUUGAAAGUGCUUUUCCGAUAUAGCCUCCGGACUGCCCAAGGUGAAGACCGGAGGAGGGGCAGGAGUUCUUCCUCCUGCGAUAUUGAUUUUUCCCUCUUUCGCUUCCCUGCUUGGCAAAAAUCAAGAAACUUGAGCCAGUUCAGAGGCUUUGCUCAAUGUGGCUAUUAUCGGAAAUGCACCUGAAAAACAUGCACUGAGACCUCGCUGGGGACUGCGAGCUCACAGCCGGGCAGCGAAUGAAUCCCCCAAGGCGAACGAGAAGGCUUACAGAGCCGCCUCCAGCAGGGAGGCUGCAGCUCAGGUAAAGCCAUCUCUGGGGCAGCAGAGGAAAGCCGAGCUGGGCUAGCAGAGCUCCCAGCAAGUGUCACAGCCCGGCUUCGGCUGACACAAAUAAUUGCAGAAAACUGUUUUUUGUUUAUUCUGUAAAAUCAGCAUAUGAGACCGCUUGCCAGCUGGAAGAGGGUACGAUUUCUUGAUUAGAAAUGCCACGUGGAUACAAUUGAACUUGAACAAAAGGAAAGAGAAACAUACCCUCUUUCUGCAGGGACAGGGAUGUUAAAGAGAGAAGCAUGGUUCGGUUCUUGGAACAUUGCUUGAGGAAGUAGAAGAGAUUCUGCUGCUGAUUAAUAAUAUGACAAAGGUGAUGGGGAAAAUGUUGGAGUGAAUAAAACAGCAGUAGGCUUUGAACA
rnacentral:lncRNA from 1 species